CUCUCUACCAUGCUCCCUCGCGGUUCCCACAAUUCCCAGCACAGCAUACUGAUACAGCUGUGAAUUGUGGGAACCGCGGGGGAGCAUGGUAGAGA